GGAAAACAAGAUGACAAAUGAGACACUCAUUCCCAAGCCAGCUACACAUCCACAGUGGCUUAUGCUAGUUCCUCUGGGAUCACUGGGGAAGGCAGUAUGGAGUUGGAAUGCUAUCAUCAGAAUUGAGCUUCAGUUCCAGUUUUGUCACUUCUUGGUGUCUACAGCAGGUUGACUUGCGUCAUCCCCCAAAAGUCAGCAAGCCGAAUUACUUGGAGGAGGAAAGCAGGAGGAGUAGAGGAGACAGAGAGAAGACAGUGGAAACACAGGAACCUUCGGGUGAGCAUUUUUAAUCUUUGUUUUGUUAAUUUGUUACUGAGUAUUAGAAGUUGCUGAUAGCAUGCUUUCUGAAAAGUACAUUAAUUUUGUUCCAUUGUAAAUUUUUUUUCCUACCAUAUACAUAGCCGAUUAAAAGAUACUGGGAAAGUACAAAAAAGGAGAAGAAAGUAAAACCACCACUGAGCUAGUCUUUAUUGACAUCUGGGCGGUAUUUCUUUCCAUUCUUUUUUUGCGUGUCUGCAUAUAAUUUCAGGAUGAUUUCCACAGUUGUGUCCAUACAGCAUGGAUUACUUGAUGCUCAUUUUUUUCCCCCUUAGAGCAUGAACUGUUUCUGCAUUGCUGUAAAUUCUUCAUAAUCAUAAUUUUAAAUUGCUGGGUACUGUUGCAUUGAGACUUGCCACACCUCACUCAAGGAUUCCCCUGAUUUUGACCAGAUAGCACCUUUCCUGUCUUUCAUAGACUGGGCUAUUUUAUUUUAAAAAAUGUAUUUUUUCCCAUUCGGAGGAUAGGAGGUUUUUUU
rnacentral:lncRNA from 1 species